UUAGUAUUUAAGCCGCCUUAAAACGGAACUUAUUCAUACUUUGCACUAAGUUCAGAGUCCCGUUGCAUUCACAAGAGACUUGCUUCCAGUUUAGUUCAAGAUAACUUCCAACGCAGCUACAAUGAACAUUUCUUCAAUCAUAUUUUUCAUUUUUGUAGUUGUGUGCGCCUUUGUAUCUAUCGAUGCAUGCAGCAACGAAAAUCAACUAUGCAACAUAUUUGGUGAACCAUGUUGUGCGGGAUUGACUUGUUAUCGUGCAGCCCCUGGAGUCUUGUACUGCAAAAAAUAAUGGAAAAACGAAGUGACAUUACAGAGUCACAACUGACAGAGGUUGAGGAAAACUACCCGAUUUCGAGACAGUUAAAAAUGGAAAAAAAUAUAUUUAAAUAAAGAAAUUCUUAAAGUUGAAA